AGGACGUGAUGUUUCCCGCUGAGGCAUGCUGGAGACUUCUAUACUUGCGAAGAUCCUUUGUUCUCGGGGCUAUGUUUUGGUUUAUAUGUUUUGCUUAGAUACUGUUAUCUCCAUUAAAUAAUACAAACUGUGAUGACUCCUCUUGUGGGAGAUUUUGGAGAAUAGGUUUUAUGUAUUUGUGUCCCUUUGGGUUUCCUUUGGGGUUUUCCUUAUUUUAUCAUAUGUAUAUAUUGCUA